ACCUCGGUGGUGUAGUGACAGCACGCACACCUGGCAUAGAUGUGAAACGCUGGUUCAACUCCUACCUGAGGUU